rnacentral:lncRNA from 1 species
GCGGUGCUGAGGGGAGAGGCCGGGCCAAGGGAAGAAGCGUGCGAGAAAGGGUGGGGCGAGUCCAGCUACAGGAAGAGUAGCGUUACUAUGGCAACCCUGACAGGUUUGUGAGCAGCCCCCGGUCCCCUGCCGCUCCGUGAGAAAUCAAACUUCAGGCACUGACGAAGCAUGAAGCCAGCAUCUUAGGAAGAGGUAGUGACAUAAUUACAAGAGAAAUUAAUGUUAUGACUGGAUGAAGACAAUUGUGAAGAAACCGCACUUUGAGGUUGUCUAUCUCUGUAUUCUGAUGGAAAAGCGUGGAGUUCAGAAGCACUGCUCGCUCCUUCAGUUUCUAACAAGUUUGAGACUAUGGUUAGGUGGUGAGGAAGGCAGGCUCAGCACCCAAGCCUUGGGGAGAUGCAGAAAGGGCCCAUCCCAGGCACUCAGGUGGAGGUAAGCAUAGCCUUUGGGCCAUAAGACCUCAUGGCCACUGGGGUGCUGGUCAGGAAACAAGUCCUCAUCUUCCCAGAAAUGUCAUCUUUUGUCUGCAGCAGCUGGCUGGAGAAAGAUUUCAGAAAGGUGUGUGCCUGGGGCACCCAAAGGCAUGACCCUCCUUUCUCCUUGGCAUAGGCCUUACAACACUGGGGAAAGGCCAUGGUUUGCCACUGGAGCCUUCAAUAGUUUUCACCCCUAUGGAUCGAAAAGAUUGUCCAAAUAGAAGCUUAUAUAGGAUGUUA